GACGGAGGAUGCAAGCGUUAUCCGGAAUGAUUGGGCGUAAAGCGUCCGCAGGUGGCAAUUCAAGUCUGCUGUUAAAGCGCAGGGCUUAACUCUGUAAAGGCAGUGGAAACUGAAUAGCUAGAGUGUGGUAGGGGCAGAGGGAAUUCCCAGUGUAGCGGUGAAAUGCGUAGAGAUUGGGAAGAACAUCGGUGGCGAAGGCGCUCUGCUGGACCAUAACUGACACUCACAGGACGAAAGCUAGGGGAGCGAACGGG
rnacentral:rRNA from 1 species